rnacentral:rRNA from 1 species
GCUUACGGCCAUACCACCCUGAGAACGCCCGAUCUCGUCUGAUCUCGGAAGCUAAACAGGGUCGGGCCUGGUUAGUACUUGGAUGGGAUUCCGCCUGGGAAUACCAGGUGCUGUAAGCU